rnacentral:rRNA from 1 species
GACGAACGCUGGCGGCGUGCUUAACACAUGCCAGUCGAACGGAAAGGCCCUGCUUUUGUGGGGUGCUCGAGUGGCGCGCGGGUGAGUAACACGUGAGUAACCUGCCCUUGACUUUGGGAUAACUUCAGGAAACUGGGGCUAAUACCGGAUAGGAGCUCCUGCUGCAUGGUGGGGGUUGGAAAGUUUCGGCGGUUGGGGAUGGACUCGCGGCUUAUCAGCUUGUUGGUGGGGUAGUGGCUUACCAAGGCUUUGACGGGUAGCCGGCCUGAGAGGGUGACCGGCCACAUUGGGACUGAGAUACGGCCCAGACUCCUACGGGAGGCAGCAGUGGGGAAUAUUGCACAAUGGGCGGAAGCCUGAUGCAGCAACGCCGCGUGCGGGAUGACGGCCUUCGGGUUGUAAACCGCUUUCGCCUGUGACGAAGCGUGAGUGACGGUAAUGGGUAAAGAAGCACCGGCUAACUACGUG